rnacentral:rRNA from 1 species
AUGUCGAGUUGGGCUCAAACAUGGAGAUAUAUCGUUUGUGUCCGAGAAAGAGCUAGGUCAACCGAGACAUACAAAGAGAGAGAGAGAAAGAGAGAGAGAGAGAGGGAGAGCGAGAGAGAGGGAGAGAGAGAGAUUGAGCGAGCGUAG